UGGGGAAUAUUGGACAAUGGGCGAAAGCCUGAUCCAGCAAUACCGCGUGAGUGAUGAAGGCCUUAGGGUUGUAAAGCUCUUUUAGCAGGGAAGAUAAUGACGGUACCUGCAGAAAAAGCCCCGGCUAACUCCGUGCCAGCAGCCGCGGUAAGACGGAGGGGGCUAGCGUUGUUCGGAAUUACUGGGCGUAAAGAGCGCGUAGGCGGUCUGGUAAGUUGGAAGUGAAAGCCCGAGGCUUAACCUCGGAAUUGCUUUCAAAACUACUGGACUAGAGUAUGGUAGGGGGUGAUAGAAUUCCUAGUGUAGAGGUGAAAUUCUUAGAUAUUAGGAGGAAUACCGGUGGCGAAGGCGAUCACCUGGGCCAUUACUGACGCUGAGGUGCGAAAGCGUGGGGAGCAAACAGG
rnacentral:rRNA from 1 species